UGUCCAGUAACUCCUAUCCCUACCUCCCCGUGGUGCCGCCUGGGGUACGAGUAACCGUAGGGAAGAUCGGGUAACCAACCUGACUAAUGCUGACAGGGAAGG
rnacentral:ribozyme from 1 species